AUCCUCAGCUGACAUGGAUACAUUUUUUAAGAGCAAACAUGUGCCUGGAGGCAAAACCACUUAGGAAAUAAAACAUCCGCUGAUCGCGCUGGGGAAUACCUGAGACUCUUGUAUGAGGAAGGGGGUUAACUGGUUUGCAGACCAUGCAUGUCGUUUCUGAAGAAACUAUCAGAGCCCUGUUUCCUCUACUUCAAUGGGAAAGCACAACUUUAAACAUCUGACACACAGUCCUGAGAAAAUGGAGAAUUUUAAGUUUCUAGUUGCAGUUGUUCACUUUCAAAGUAGUUAAAAACUGCAAAACGCCAGUAUUUAUUUGAUCAUUUAUUUUACUUUUCUACCUGCUGACAGUGGCCUCACAAUUUUGUUUUUGGAAUUAAUAAAAGUUAACGCCAAUUGUAUCAUAUUUGCUACAUGAGUUUCUGAGACGUCUACGUCGUCAACAUGAUCAAUACUUUCCUGAAAAACCAAUCUGACACAUGUCUUCUGCCCUCUGGUGGAUCAUCUGUGCACUGCAGGCUGUAGCGGGCCUUUGAAUGCCAUAUCCAAAAUGUCUGGUUUCAUGUAGCGACUCACAAGUUUUUGGCAGGGAAAUCUUUGCUAAUUUUGAAAAAGUUACGGGUCGUGGUGAGCUGGAGCCUAACCCAGCAUAUACAGGGCACAAGACGAGACUACACCCUGGACAGGAUGCCAGUCCAUCACAGGGCACAACACACACACACACUCAGGGCAAUUUAGAGUGACCAAUCAACCUGGACAGCAUGUCUUUGGAACUUGGGAGGAAACCCACGCGAACACGGGGAGAACAUGCAAACUCCACACAGACAGUACCCUAGGCCGGAUUCGAGCCUAGGACCCUAGCGCUGUGAGGCAGCAGCGCUAACCACUACGCCACCGUGCCACCCCUGCUUAAUAAUAAUAAUAAUAAUAAUAAACAACUUAGCUGACACCUUUA